rnacentral:sRNA from 1 species
GCUGGGCGGGGUGGUGCUCACCUGUAAUCCCAGUGACUUGUGAGGCUGAAGCAGGAGGAUUGCAAGUUUGAGGACAGCCUCAAAAUUUAGCAAGACCCUGUCUCAA